rnacentral:lncRNA from 1 species
AAUGAUUAAUUUUUAUAAACAAGCCUUUUCAACAUUAUAUAAACUUUCACUACUAUUAAAAAAUUAAGUUUGUAUAACUGGUCUUUGACACAAAAAUCAAUUAAUACAAUGACAAACUUGUUCAGGUCAGCAGUUCAGCCAACUGAAAUGAGGACCAAUUUCCUAAUAAUCAAAAUUAUAAUAAAAUUUGUCAAAAUUGACUGUCUAUAUCUUUAGCCCUUCAGCUUUACUGGUGAAGUGAUUUUUAACUUGAUA